AUUGAACGCUGGCGGCGUGCCUAAUACAUGCAAGUCGAACGCAGUGGGGACGGGUGAGUAACACGUGGGUAACCUUCCAUCAGAGGGGAUAACACUUGGAAACAGGUGCUAAACCGAUACUGAUGGAUGGAGCCGGGGUGCAUUAGCUAGUUGGUGAGGUAACGGCUCACCAAGGCCACGAUGCAUAGCCGACCUGAGAGGAUGAUCGGCCACACUGGAACUGAGACACGGCCCAGACUCCUACGGGAGGCAGCAGUAGGGAAUCUUCGGCAAUGGGCGAAAGCCUGACCGAGCAAUGCCGCGUGAGUGAAGAAGGUUUUCGGAUCGUAAAGCUCUGUUGUUAGAGAAGCGUUAUCUAACCAGAAAGCCACGGCUAACUACGUGCCAGCAGCCGCGGUAAUAC
rnacentral:rRNA from 1 species